GAACGCGAAGAACCUUACCAGGGCUUGACAUUUAGGUGAAGCGGCGGAAACGUCGUGGCCGAAAGGAGCCUAAGCAGGUGGUGCAUGGCUGUCGUCAGCUCGUGUCGUGAGAUGUUAGGUUAAGUCCUGCAACGAGCGCAACCCUCGUCGUAUGUUGCCAGCGGUUAGGCCGGGCACCCAUACGAGACCGCCGGCGUCAAGCCGGAGGAAGGUGGGGACGACGUCAAGUCAUCAUGCCCCUUAUGUCCUGGGCUACACACGUGCUACAAUGGCCGGCACAAUGGGCUGCCAACCCGCGAGGGUGAGCGAAUCCCUAAAGCCGGUCCCAGUUCGGAUUGGAGGCUGCAACCCGCCUCCAUGAAGUCGGAGUUGCUAGUAAUCGCGGAUCAGCACGCCGCGGUGAAUGCGUUCCCGGGUCUUGUACACACC
rnacentral:rRNA from 1 species